rfam:Cavia porcellus supercont2_3 genomic scaffold, whole genome shotgun sequence.
GGGGAUUUAGCUCAGUGGCAUAAGCGCCUGCCUUGUAAGCAGGCAGUUGUGAGUUCAAUCCCUG